GACGAACGCUGGCGGCGUGCUUAACACAUGCAAGUCGAGCGGUAAGGCCCUUUCGGGGGUACACGAGCGGCGAACGGGUGAGUAACACGUGAGCAACCUACCCUCAACUUCGGGAUAAGCCUCGGAAACGGGGUCUAAUACCGGAUAUCACUCCAUCCUUCAUGGUUUGGGGUUGAAAGUUCUGGCGGUUGGGGAUGGGCUCGCGGCCUAUCAGCUUGUUGGUGGGGUAAUGGCCUACCAAGGCGUCGACGGGUAGCCGGCCUGAGAGGGCGACCGGCCACACUGGGACUGAGACACGGCCCAGACUCCUACGGGAGGCAGCAGUGGGGAAUAUUGCGCAAUGGGCGAAAGCCUGACGCAGCAACGCCGCGUGAGGGAUGACGGCCU
rnacentral:rRNA from 1 species